GGAGUUACAAAUGCAGAGAAGAGAAUGUAUGAAUGUUUGCUGUAUGAAUGGUUGAUAAUACAUUUACAAAAAAUGACUACUGAAUACAAACCUUUCAAGACGCCAAGACGAAUCUGUGUUGAAACUAUCUAUGCUUCUUUAUAUAAUAGGUAAACUACAUUUUAAUCCUCUGUUUGAGUAUAAUUCUGUAAAAUGAAGGCAAUACUUGAAAAAAAUGUUUAUGCAUGAGUGAAGUUCAAUCUCAAUCGAGCCUGGAUUGAAUUAAUUUUAAAAAGCCGCACUCAGAGGUGGAUUUAUUCUGACCGUUAGAGUUUACUACUCUGAAAGAUAAAGACUCACGUUGGCACUUGGCAGGGAGGAGUGGUCGCUUUUCUAACAAGCCCUUUAUUUGUCCGAAUGGACCACGCCCCCGGCUAUUAUCCGAGGCCCGGCUUCAAAUAGAAUCCCGGACACAAUUUGAGGAUUUACGGUAAUUUAAAAAAGGCGGUGGAUUGAUUCUGACCGUUAGAGUUUACUGCUCUGAAAGAUAAAGACACAUGUUGGCAGGGAGAAGUGGUCGCUUUUCCAACAAGCCCUUCUCUGAGCAUAAUUACAGAACACAAAUAAUUCUGAUUCAACUGUGUUAUGUUUCAUAUUCACAAUAUUCAAAAUAAUUGAAUAUAUUAUAAAAUCACUAUUCAUAGACUGAAAUUGUUUCCUUAUUUGAGUGUUAGCUAUUGUGAGAUUUGUGAGAUAUUGUGGGCCAAACUAUUCACCUCCAGUUACACCCCCACCCUCCCUCCACAACAUACAUGUGCACCGCCCAUAACCCUGUCAGCAAUGCCUCCAGUGAUUCUACUGAUCUGGAAAAGUGCUUCACCUCAGGAUCACAAGGAAGAUGGAUUCCAGCCUUGUGUGCCUCAUCUAUUUUCAUUGUCUUCGGAGCACUGCUGUACAAUAUAAUACAAUAUAGUGCAAAUACAAUAUAAAAGUAAACCAAUUCAAGGUAAGCAUCCCCGCCCUCUGAUGAGUGGAAUCAGUAUUAUGCAGUUAGCUGAAACAAGUAAAGAUGUAAUUAAAUACCCUAACUUAUUAAAUGCUUCUUUUUUAGAGGCAGUCAUGGAGGAGGAGCCACCGUCUGCAAUGCCUUCUAUUGAUCCAGUAUAUGUGAGCAGGUCCUGUUCAGUUUAUCUCAGUAACAAAUGAUGGACCCUUUACACAGACUGAAUAUGCAAGCAUUAGGAAAGGCAAUGAGUAAUGUGAAGCAGUAUUCAAAUUAAAACAAUAACAACAAGCAUGCUUGAAAGAGAAGAUAUUUCAAGCUAUGUUAUUCUGUUGAACAAUCAGGUUUUCUAACAGUGGUGUAUCUCUUGUAACUAGUGAAAGGGCGAAUCUGCUUAAUUUCUUCACCCAGAAAUCAGAUUAAAUCAAAAAUACUUUUUUAUUGUAAAUCUUUUGUACAUUCCAGUGGAUGCUAGGUCUGAACAGAUGUAAAAUAUAACUUGUAAGAUUCAAUGGAUUUGCAUUGUUUUAUAUGAAUAGACUUAUGUAGUGAAAUAUGUCACAAAGCAUUUGAAAAAAGGGUGUAUAUUAUAAUGUGCACAGUGUCUGAAAGGGUUAAAGUAAUGACUACUUUGGAAGACGUUUAAUUUAGCUGGUUGUGUUCUGUUAUUUGUAUUUUGUAUCAUGCUCAUUUGGUGAAAAUGAGUGAAAACGAGGUACAUUUUAUAUAUUUAAAAUUUUUUUACAUAAAGCAUACAACAUAGUUAUAGACUAAAUGAUAUUGCGUAAAACUGUGUCUGUAUCAGCACUGAAUGUUUUGUACAAUAAGUUAGUUUCAUAACAAUAAAAAAGGAUUUUUUAAACCAAA